ACCCGCAAGACAGGUCAAAAAUAGACAGGACCCCCAGUAUACUUUACAAAACCCUGUGCGCCGAGUGCCCUUCUUGGUAUUUUGGCGAAACAAGAAACAUGCCAGAAUGACUCAAACAACACGCCAAUGAUGUCCGGAAGCUGAAGAAUAGAGCGAAGUGCCGUCACCAAGCAUUGUGAGACGUUUGACAAGCCAGAUAAAUUUCAACCAUAUGACCAUCCUAGAAAGUGAGACUAACUGGAGCAGAAGGUGAAGUUCUUAAAAAUUCGCAGAAUUAGGGGUGAACGAGCUGACUGUGAUUGCAGGCGGCAAACUUCCAUUUAUGUUUUAAAGGGUGGCUUGGAGUAGCCCAUUCAUGUUGGGAGGAUUAUAAGGGCGACCGGAAAGGCACACAAGGCUAUUCUUAGAGCGCUGCAGGACAGUUCGCUAUUGUACGAUUGCGUGGAAGCUGUUGGCAGAGGUACUCAAAUUUUUCGCUUUCCUUUUUUCUUUUCAAGAAUUUCGUGUUUCAUUACCUUUCGACACUGGUACCUAGAAGCCAUUUUCAUUGUUGUAAAUGAAUGAUGUUGUGUAGGGGCAUUGUAGCAAGCAGGUUAUUUUACCAUAAAAACAAGCAGAAGUUGACCAUGUGCCAGCAUUUCAUUGUUAUAACCAAUAUAUUGUUAAAACUGGUAUCAUUAUAGGCCUGUAUAUCUGUGGUGUCAACGGCUUGAAAUAGGUGCCUAUUCUUGAUUACCGAAAAGAAAAAGCUCAAGCAAGCGCAUCCUGUGUGCCUGCAUUGCAAAAAAUAAGCUCGUUUCUGACUCUUCGAAUAAUUUACGACGUCACAGAUGUAUCACCAACUGUCAUUGAGAAAAAACACUGACAACAAGUUAAACCUUGAAUUAUGAUUUUUUGUGCUACAAGAUUCCUUUGUUGACAUGUUUCUGCUACUUUAAUUUAUAGCUCUAGGUCAGCUUAGACCUAGAGCUAUAAAUUACAACCCUAUGUGGCUGACUAUAACCCAUAGGCAAAACAAUGACCCAUUACAAAGAAGCUGCCCAUGCAUACUCUACAACAUGCACAACUUCUGACUUUUCAAUAAUUUGUAGCCAGUUCGUUGGUAUAGACUCCUUGUUCCACCCCUCGUACAUCUUGGACACAGCAGGGCUACCUCGAGAAACCUUGGCUCUUCUCUCACACUAACUGGAAUAGAGACUGGAAGUUCGCACAUCAACAAAAAGGCACUACCUGAAAAAUUGUGCUCAAUACACAUGAACUGUAAAGAUAUUUCUGCCACAAUCACAACAAAAGAAUAUUCCAGAAACGUGAUGCAAACCACAAUCCGCGUUGUCUUUCGUGUUGUCACUGCCCAUAAUAAGUGAGGACGUUUGUGGUGUGUGUACCAUUAUUUCAUGAACAUUUGGAGUUUCUGUAAAUGGCACCAGUAAAAUGGCAGCUCAAUCAGUUGGCAUUUUUCCCUUUGGUGUAAUAAGCUAUUAUAUAUCAGCUUAGAAACAAUCGAGCAAAGACGAAAAGAACAAAGUGGCGUGGUCAAGGCCACUGAGCUCGUGACCAAGCUACUGCAUUCAGCGUUCUGAAAAUGCAAUAACGGGACUUUAUAAUACUUGCGACGAAGGAAUGUGACCCUGCAAAGCAGGUUCACCCUGAAUGACAACACACAACAUCCAAAGGACUUCCGAAAAAGAUCCCAAUGUCCCACAUUUCAACAGGGUGGGUUUUUAGAUGUCCUUUGGACGUGUGUGUAGGGGAUAUCCCAACAGGGUAGUUAUUAAAAUGUCCUUUCUAUCUGCACAGGGAUCAUUCCUAAAGCAUUCGCUGUGGGCUCUGUUUGGGAGUUCAAGUUAGCGGUGAAUUCACUGUGUUGAAAAUUGGCCAUCUAUCGGAAACUACGAUUCUAACGGAGUUCACAGUUCGUGCGUGUGCACAAUUGUGUAUUUUCAUACACACACACACACAAAAAAAUAAACUUUGUAUCAUGCUUUUUGUGAAAUGGUUUAUUUUUUUUUUGCUAUAGCUGUCGCACUGUCGUUUCCCUGGAAAUAAAGAAACUCGUGGCAGGGCAGCACUAACUUUUGUGAUUCUAGCUCGCUGCACAGCGCAGCCAUUGCCAUCACCAUGAUCUUACCGAGAGGCGCAAUCAAGGUGAUAGUGACGUACUAUAACUUUUCUUUUUCCAAACAAAGUGAACACACUUUUAUUUCAAGUGUUAAAGUGUGCAUUAGGUUUUUUGUUUUGUGUUUGGGCUAUUUCGGGCUGAGAAGGCUAGGCGACCUAAUCCAAAGGGUCAAUGUAUCUAGGAGGCGUUGAAAGGGUAUAGGUGUAUCGCCAUUGCCAUCAAGUUGCAACAAUGGCCGCAAUGUGCGCUUAACAACGUGUUGGCCGGCUUGUCAGUGUCCAAAGAGCUCGAAGCUACUACAGUGUGCCUAGGUGAUACUGUCAAAGCCUCGUUGGCAUCGUCUUCGAGAAAUCUCAAAUGCACAUGCUGUGUUUGCUGCAAGAUCUUCCCGAUGUCGUCGUUUCUUGACCUCUUCGGUAAGCAUUUUACAUGCCUGAAUUACGGCAAUUUGCGCAUUUUUAGCACUUUCUUCUUUGUCUCCCCACCGCGUAGUAUUCUGAACUGGACCGCUGCAUCAAGCAUGGCAAGUGAGAGUAAGUUUUAUUUGUAAUGCGAUUUAUAUUAUCGUCCGCAUAAACUGUUGAGGUCACAAUUUUAUUUAUGCGAUGACAGUACGCUGUAGGUAACUAUUCAGUGAUUUAUAGGUGUACUGCUUUUGUCAGCCACGUGUGUUGACUGACACCGCGAUCGUAAAGCCCAUGGCUGAUGUGCCUCAAAUGACUACAUACCGGCGCGUGCGCUUUGCUGUGCAGAACAAUCUAAAUGAGAUACUGUUGGCUGGAGAAACAAAUUCGCUCUUAAUUAAUGCCUCCAGUUUUCACUGCGCUGUUGAUGGCACAGUAACUCUGCCGGCCUCAUUGUCCAACCCUGUUGCUGGGCUUAGUUGUCGCACACUUUCCGCGCUUGAAUUUCUGUAUGCAGAUGUGAGCACUGACGACGCUCUCAUUCAAGUAUUAACAGCCCUUCAGGUGAUCGCGGGCCUUGCACUUACAGUUCUGUUGAGGAGCCGAGCUCUCCACGAGGCAGCAAAUUUACUCAAGGAGAGCAAGCAAAUGCACUCUCGUUCAAAGAAAGGUUGCAGGUUUGGUGCAUAGAGAGAGACGUACCACAUGUUACUGUCACAGGUUUAUUGCGGGUUUUGCGCUCGCACACUUGCUUUUCGAGCUUCCCGAAAACUGCUAGGGCACUUCUAUUAACGCCAAGGUCAGCAGAAGAUGUUAGACCAAUGGGUUCAAGCCAAUAUUGUCAUUUUGGUUUGAGUGAAAGUCUUCAGGAUGCUUUAAAAAUUGUUAUGUUUGUGCCAGACCCAGUCAUUCUUCAUAUCAAUGUAGAUGGACUUCUUUUGACCAAAAGCACUCGAGACCAGUUUUGGCCCAUUCUUUGUAGAGGAGCAAAUUGUGAAGGCAGUACACCAUUUCCAAUUGGUAUUUAUUAUGGACAGUCCAAGGCUUUAGAGCCAAAUGUCUUCCUGCAUCAGUUUCUGUUGGAUAUGAAAGCAGCCCUACAUGAAGGUGUUUUUGUGAAAGACAGGGUUAUCCGUGUGAAACUUCGGGCAAUAAUUUGUGAUGCUCCAGCUAAGGCUUAUAUUCUUGGCACUAAGAGCCACAGUGGUUACUUCAGUUGUCCUAAGUGCACAACAGAAGGAGACUAUAAGCAUGGUCAUAUGUGCUUCCCCGAACUUGAUGCUCCAUUGCGAACGGAUUUGGAUGCAGGUCAAGAAGAUCACCACCUUUCGGAUACAAUGCUCAAGGAGCUUCCAAUAGACUUGAUUAAGCAGGUGCCUCUUCACUACAUGCACCUUGCAUGUCUAGGUGUCGUUCGUAAGCUCUUGCUGCUAUGGAUGAAAGGGGAGAAAACUUACAGAAUUGGGAAAAAAAAAUCAAGAGAGAGUGUGUCUGGAGCAAACACUGAAAUACAGCACUAUGUGCCAUCAGAGAUGUCCCGAAAGCCCAGAAGCCUUUCAGAUAUUGACAGGUGGAAGGGUUCAGAAUUCAGUCUUUUUUUGCUCUAUACUGGUUCAAUGGUCUUAAAAUCAAAUGUACCUCACCAAGCGGCAGAUAAUUUAAUGGCAUUGCAUACAGCCAUGAGCAUUCUGUGCAGUCCGCUGUCAUGUGCCGAGCACCUGGAGUAUGCAGAGAAAUUGUUAGUGCACUUUGUUAAUGUAUUCAUUAAUAUAUAUGUCAAUCACACUGUUUCACUAAAUGUUCAUUGUCUGUUGCACAUCAAAGAUGAUGUUCGAAUUCAUGGACCUCUGCAUGGAUACAGUGCUUUUCCUUUUGACAACUACAUGCCUAGGCUCAAAAAAUAUGUCAGAAAGCCUGAAAAGCCUCUUCAUCAGCUUUACAAUAGAAUUAUGGAAGAGCGAGCAUUGGCUGGCAUAGUAGGCAGAUCAGAAAGUUCUGUUGCUAAUAAUCCAAGCAAUGGGAACUUCACAGAAGCUCAAAAGCUGCUUUUAAGGCAUGAUAAUGGACCGCUUCCACUAGGUUGUGUAGGACCUCAAUUCAAAGGUUUCAAGUUCUCUCAAUAUGUCACUAUAAAAGUGAACAAGAAAGACUGCACGUGCAUGUUACAUGAUGAUAGUGAUGUCAAAGUGAGAAAUUUGCAAUUUGUUAUGUAGCCUAGAGCCUGUGCUUAUUGGGAGAAAGUAUCAGAAAUUGGAAGACCUUUACACUUAUCCAUGCAACUCCUCUUUCAUGAACAUAUUUUUAGCUUCCAAGUUUUCAAAGCUCUGCUUCUGGCCUGUUUCGGAUAUCCCACUGAAAUGUGUCAGGCUGCCUUUCAGGAGGAAAAAUGCUGUAUUUCAAAUAAUACACCUGCAGUGAUAUUUGUUAAAGUUCUAUUUAUGCUUUGUAAUUUUACUUCAUGCCCUUCAACUAGCUGCUUCUAACUUUAUAUUAUUUUUAAAAGGCAUGCGUUCAUACUUGUCUGAGACGGUCUCUUUCUUUCCAAGCUCAGCAGCCUGCCAUUAUCAGAAGUGUGGCUGCAGUUAGGUUCUUUCUGUCCUGUACGGAACUUUACUACAUUUAGUAUAUUUAACCUAUUAUAUAAGCUUUUAUGUAACCUUGAGCUACUAGGAACAAAGGAAAGCAUGGAAUGAAGCUGCAUAAACUAGUUGCUGUUUGUACACCCUUCUCUUUUGUAUUCCUUGUUGCUUUUCUUAGAUGUCUCAUUUGUGUGUUUUAUUAUGUCUUGCUUCUUCAUGUAUCUUGAGUUGGCAGAUUUGCCAUGGUAGAAUUCCCUGAAGAAGACGACAGCUUGGCUGUUGUGCAUGCGUCGUGGCUUAAUGAAAGUAGAAAUCAAAUGCAUUGGCCAAUCAUAAAAAGUUCUAGAAAGCUUCGUCGCGCCGUCACCGAAAGAGCACACACCAUCACUCACCUGACUGGGAGCAAACCAAUUGUGUGGUGAAAGGCUGGGCUGAAACUUAUGAGAAGGUAUCAGAAAUUCAACAACAUUUGGAAUACUAUUCGGAAAUGAGCAAGGAGGAAGAGUUGGGCCGAGGUAAAAGAAAAAAAAAACUGCCUUGCCUUGUGACUAAGACAGCCAACAUGAGACAGAUAGUUCAGGUGAAGACCACAGCUACAAACCAACGAAACCACCAAAACCACCUAAAAUG
rnacentral:misc_RNA from 1 species